UAAAUUUGCUUUGAUAAGCGUGGCCUGUAACCAGGAUCAUAGACCAAUUUUUCUCCUGCUGCGAUGGAUUUAUUUCCUCUACAUGUUAACCUGGGUUUUUCAUCAUUGAAGGUUUUGAAGACUUAAGCAAAUAGACUAAAGCACAAGUAAAUGAUAAGGACGAGUUUUGAUUAAUUUUUGUUUUCAUUGGCCUAAUUUAUAAUUUUAAUGGUGGCAGCAGGUAACAUUUCUAAUGUGUACAAGAAAUUUCUUUUAUUUUUCCAAUAGAGUCUUUUUAUUUUUCCAAUAGAGUCUUUUUAUUUAUAAUCGGUAUGAAGUAAAUUUAAUUUCCAUCAACACUAAGGUACCUCACAUUUAGUAGAAGUCGACGAAAUCCUUUUCAUUUUCAAAGAUGAACUAUUAGAAAGAAAAAAAAAUACUUUUUCUAUGACUUUAAUUUCAUCUCCAAACUAUAUACAUAGUUCUACCUUAUUCUCAAUUUUUAAAAUAACAAAAUAGUAUUCUGAAAUUAAAGUAGCUCACUCACAAACACAUAUCUCUUUCUCUCUUCUUGGUAACUUGUUAACCUAUUUUUCUUAAUUUGGGGAUUAUAUUCUAGCUUAUUUAUUGAAUUUAUUACAAACUAAUGUCUAAUUCUUGAAUUCAACCGUUACAAAAAUUCCUUUUGAUUUAUUUAAGUUCUCUACAUAAGUCCAUUUACUGCGCCCAUCGAGACAAAGUUUGCAUAUGAGAGAAAAAGGAAAAUAUAUGUCAAGUGAAUGUUUAGAGAUAAAGUUUGGGAUUACUAGGAUGGAAUAUGAAGAGAGAAAAUAUAGAAAAGUGUACAAAGAAAAAGGAAAAGGAAAAAGAAAAAGAACUAGAUAUUAGGGAAGUUGAUCCCAUCAAUAUGUACGACAGAGAUGCAUUUAAUUGAUAUUUCUUCUUUUUCCAAAAUUUUCUAAUUCUUUUUAUUUUCUUCUUUUAGUCUUUUAUUUGAUGAAAAAAUGUGAAUCUUAUGAACAGGUGUCGAGAAAUCAUACUAAUGGCCUUAGAAGAAGAAGAAAAAGGAGGUCAAAUCUCCGGUUUACAUCCCAAUAUCUUUUUCAUACUUUAAUUUUAAUAUUCUACUUUUUCAAGUUCACAUAUACUAAUUUCUUAAAUGAGUUGUUUCAUAUUUAAUCUAAUUUGUUUAUAGGUUGUCUUUUAAGAAAUUAUUAAAUAUGUUUCAUUAAUAAAAAAAUAUUUUCUUU